GGCCGGGCUGGGUGGGGGGAGAUGAGGCAGCCGCAGCUGGGAGGAGGGACCAGCGCCGCUCCGUAACAGCUGUGCAGGGCACCGCGCUCCGCGCCCGCCGCUGGGCUGCGGUUGGGGGGGGGCCGCCAUCACCGCCGCCGCCGGGGGACACCCGGCCGGGCUCGGCGCGGAGCUGAGGGUGGAGAGCAGAGGGCGAGCUCGGCCGCCAACUUUCCCCCCUCGGGGGGUGCCGAGGUGGGGAUGUUCCUGACGUCACUGCAAGAGCUGAAGAGUAGCCAUCCUGAAAAUGCUGAUGGAUGAUCAGUGGAUGGAAAAUAAGCAUUUGCCCACUUCCAAACAACAAUAAAAAAGUGUGAAUAAUCA